rnacentral:rRNA from 1 species
AUUGAACGCUGGCGGCAGGCCUAACACAUGCAAGUCGAGCGGCAGCGGGAAAGUAGCUUGCUACUUUUGCCGGCGAGCGGCGGACGGGUGAGUAAUGCCUGGGGAUCUGCCCAGUCGAGGGGGAUAACUACUGGAAACGGUAGCUAAUACCGCAUUCGCCCUACGGGGGAAAGCAGGGGACCUUCGGGCCUUGCGCGAUUGGAUGAACCCGGGUGGGAUUAGCUAGUUGGUGAGGUAAUGGCUCACCAAGGCGACGAUCCCUAGCUGGUCUGAGAGGAUGAGCAGGCACACUGGAACUGAGACACGGUCCAGACUCCUACGGGAGGCAACAGUGGGGAAUAUUGCACAAUGGGGGAAACCCUGAUGCAGCCAUGCCGCGUGUGUGAAGAAGGCCUUCGGGUUGUAAAGCACUUUCAGCGAGGAGGAAAGGUUGGUAGCUAAUAACUGCCAGCUGUGACGUUACUCGCAGAAGAAGCACCGGCUAACUCCGUGCCAGCCGCCGCGGUAAAAC